AUAGCCUUUGUCUUAUCUUGCCAUUCUUAUGUUUUUGAUCAUAAAAUACGGCUCAUGGAUUGCCUACCUUGGUAGCUCAUUGCCUUCCGUCUUUUUUUUGUUACGUCACAGGGUAAUUGGUAGUGAUAUUGAGGACGUCCUGUAGAGCCUGCAUAUUCGAUGAUUUUCUUGAUGACAAGAUGCUGUUUUUUUGAGGCCUGAAGUUGUUGGGGAUUGUUCAUAUAACUAAAGAAUGGCCCAGUUUAAGUUUGUCGACAUUGUUUUGUAGGAAUUCAUUGUUUUUGUGGUCUGUACUUUAGAAAGUUAUAAUUUUAUUUAUAUGCCUGAAGUUAUUUGGAGACUUUUUAAUUUAUAGGUAUUGACUCUGUUUUGGAAUUACUGUUGUGUUGGAUUGGUAGCUAUAUUUAUAUAUAUAUAUAUAUAUAUAUAUUUGAAGCA